GAUGAAAGAACGUAGUGAAAUGCGAUAAGUAAUGUGAAUUGCAGAAUUCAGUGAAUCAUCGAAUCUUUGAACGCACAUUGCGCCCAUUAGUAUUCUAGUGGGCAUGCCUGUUCGAGCGUCAUUAAGUCCACUUAAGCCCUGCUUAGUGUUGGGAGACUGCUCCAGCGGUGCUACCCUGUAGCUACCCUGCAGCUCCUCAAAGACAGCGGCGGAGUUGUGGUAUCCUCUGAGCUUAGUAACUUGUUCUAGCUUUCGAGUACACCACUUCCCCUGCCGUAAAACCCUUAAUUUUUAAUGGUUGACCUCGGAUCAGGUAGGAAUACCCGCUGAACUUAAGCAUAUCAAUAAGCGGAGGA
rnacentral:misc_RNA from 1 species